UACGAAGGGGGGCUAGCGUUGCUCGGAAUCACUGGGCGUAAAGGGUGCGUAGGCGGGUCUUUAAGUCAGGGGUGAAAUCCUGGAGCUCAACUCCAGAACUGCCUUUAAUACUGAAGAUCUUGAGUCCGGGAGAGGUGAGUGGAACUGCGAGUGUAGAGGUGAAAUUCGUAGAUAUUCGCAAGAACACCAGUGGCGAAGGCGGCUCACUGGCCCGGUACUGACGCUGAGGCACGAAAAGCGUGGGGGAGCAAACAGGG
rnacentral:rRNA from 1 species